GAGGAUGCGAGCGUUAUCCGGAUUUACUGGGUGUAAAGGGAGCGUAGACGGUCCUGCAAGCCAGAUGUGAAAGCCCGGGGCUCAACCCCGGGACUGCAUUUGGAACUGUAAGGCUAGAGUGUCGGAGAGGCAGGCGGAAUUCCUAGUGUAGCGGUGAAAUGCGUAGAUAUUAGGAGGAACACCAGUGGCGAAGGCGGCCUGCUGGACGAUGACUGACGUUGAGGCUCGAAAGCGUGGGGAGCA
rnacentral:rRNA from 1 species